rnacentral:rRNA from 1 species
GGGCCCGCACAAGCGGUGGAUGAUGUGGUUUAAUUCGACGCAACGCGAAAAACCUUACCUACCCUUGACAUGUGAGGAAUCCUGCAGAGAUGCAGGAGUGCCCGAAAGGGAACCUCAACACAGGUGCUGCAUGGCUGUCGUCAGCUCGUGUCGUGAGAUGUUGGGUUAAGUCCCGCAACGAGCGCAACCCUUGCCAUUAGUUGCUACAUUCAGUUGAGCACUCUAAUGGGACUGCCGGUGACAAACCGGAGGAAGGUGGGGAUGACGUCAAGUCCUCAUGGCCCUUAUGGGUAGGGCUACACACGUCAUACAAUGGCGCGUACAGAGGGUUGCCAACCCGCGAGGGGGAGCCAAUCCCAGAAAGCGCGUCGUAGUCCGGAUUGAAGUCUGCAACUCGACUUCAUGAAGUCGGAAUCGCUAGUAAUCGCGGAUCAGCAUGUCGCGGUGAAUACGUUCCCGGGCCUU